UGGGGUUCGGGGCUCGUUGCUACGGGCUGUUCGUUCCCUGUAUGACCGGAGCAGGAGCUUGGUUCGCAUUGCCGGCAGUAAGUCAGACCUGUUCCCGGUGCAUGUUGGACUCCGCCAGGGCUGCCCUUUGUCACCGAUUCUGUUCAUUAUCUUCAUGGACAGAAUUUCUAGGCGCAGUCAGGGAACGGAGGGUGUCUGUUUUGGUGGCCGCGAGAUCUCGUCUCUGCUUUUUGCGGACGAUGUGGUCCUGUUGGCUUCAUCAAGUCAAGACUUGCAGCGUGCACUGGGGGGGUUUGCAGCCGAGUGCGAAGCGACGGGGAUGAGAAUCAGCACCUCCAAAUCCGAGGCCAUGGUUCUCAGUCGGAAAAAGGUGGAUUGCUCCCUCCGGGUUAGGGGGGAGUUGCUCCCUCAAGUGGAGGAGUUUAAGUAUCUUGGGGUCUUGUUCACGAGUGAGGGAAAAAUGGAGCGGCAGGUUGACAGGCGGAUCGGUGCGGCGUCCGCAGUAAUGCGGUCAUUGUACCGGUCUGUUGUGGUGAAGAGGGAGCUGAGUCGUAAGGCGAAGCUCUCAAUUUACCGGUCGAUCUACGUUCCUACCCUCACCUAUGGUCAUGAACUCUGGAUCAUGACCGAAAGAAUGAGAUCGCGGAUACAAGCGGCAGAAAUGAGUUUCCUCCGCAGAGUGGCUGGGCGCACCCUUAGGGAUAGGGUGAGGAGCUCAGUCACCCGGGAGGAGCUCGGAGUAGAGCCGCUGCUCCUCCGCAUCGAGAGGAGCCAGUUGAGGUGGCUCGGGCAUCUGUUCCGGAUGCCUCCUGGACGCCUCCCUGGGGAGGUGCUCCGGGCUUGUCCCACUGGGAGGAGGCCUCGGGGCAGACCCAGGACACUUUGGAGAGACUAUGUCUCCCGGCUGGCCUGGGAACGCCUUGGGGUUCCCCCAGAGGAACUGGAGGAGGUGUGCGGGGAGAGGGAAGUCUGGAGUACUCUGCUCGGACUGCUGCCCCCGCGACCCGGCCCCGGAUAAAAGCGGAGUAAGAUGGAUGGAUGGAUGGACAUCAAUACCAGAAGUUUUCAAGGAGUAAAAUGUAUUUAAAGCUGAC
ensembl:lncRNA